UACGAAGGGUGCAAACGUUGCUCGGAAUUAUUGGGCGUAAAGCGCACGUAGGCGGUAUUGCAAGUCGGAUGUGAAAUCCCUCGGCUUAACCAAGGAAGUGCAUCCGAAACUGCUGUACUUGAGUACGAAAGAGGAUCGCGGAAUUCCCGGUGUAGUGGUGAUAUGCGUAGAUAUCGGGAGGAACACCUGUGGCGAAGGCGGCUUCCUGGACCGACACUGACGCUGAGGCGCGAAAGCUAGGGGAGCAAACGGG
rnacentral:rRNA from 1 species